rnacentral:rRNA from 1 species
UACGAAGGGGGCUAGCGUUGCUCGGAAUUACUGGGCGUAAAGCGCACGUAGGCGGCUUUCUAAGUCGGGGGUGAAAUCCUGGAGCUCAACUCCAGAACUGCCUUCGAUACUGGAGAGCUCGAGUCCGGGAGAGGUGAGUGGAACUGCGAGUGUAGAGGUGAAAUUCGUAGAUAUUCGGAAGAACACCAGUGGCGAAGGCGGCUCACUGGACCGGUAUUGACGCUGAGGUGCGAAAGCGUGGGGAGCAAACAGG